CCCAGACUCCUACGGGAGGCAGCAGUGGGGGAUAUUGCACAAUGGGGGAAACCCUGAUGCAGCGACGCCGCGUGGGUGAAGAAGCGCCUCGGCGCGUAAAGCCCUGUCAGCAGGGAAGAAAAUGACGGUACCUGAAGAAGAAGCCCCGGCUAACUACGUGCCAGCAGCCGCGGUAAUACGUAGGGGGCAAGCGUUAUCCGGAUUUACUGGGUGUAAAGGGGGCGUAGGCGGGAUGGCAAGUUGGGUGUUAAAUCUACCGGCUCAACUGGUAGUCGCACUCAAAACUGCUAUUCUUGAGUGAAGUAGAGGCAGGCGGAAUUCCUAGUGUAGCGGUGAAAUGCGUAGAUAUCAGGAGGAACACCGGCGGCGAAGGCGGCCUGCUGGACCGCGACUGACGUUGAGGCUCGAAAGCGUGGGGAGCGAACAGGAUUAGAUACCCUGGUA
rnacentral:rRNA from 1 species